rnacentral:rRNA from 1 species
UACGAAGGGGGCUAGCGUUGCUCGGAAUCACUGGGCGUAAAGCGCACGUAGGCGGAUUGUUAAGUCAGUGGUGAAAUCCUGGAGCUCAACUCCAGAACUGCCUUUGAUACUGGCGAUCUUGAGUCCGGGAGAGGUGAGUGGAACUGCGAGUGUAGAGGUGAAAUUCGUAGAUAUUCACAAGAACACCAGUGGCGAAGGCGGCUCACUGGCCCGGUACUGACGCUGAGGUGCGAAAGCGUGGGGAGCAAACAGG